CCUACGGGAGGCAGCAGUGAGGAAUAUUGGUCAAUGGACGCGAGUCUGAACCAGCCAUGUCGCGUGCAGGAUGACGGCCCUAUGAGUUGUAAACUUCUUUUAUACGAGGGUAAACGCAGAUACGUGUGUCUGUCUGAAAGUAUCUUACGAAUAAGGAUCGGCUAACUCCGUGCCAGCAGCCGCGGUAAUACGGAGGAUUCGAGCGUUAUCCGGAUUUAUUGGGUUUAAAGGGUGCGUAGGCGGUCGGAUAAGUUAGUGGUGAAAUAUCGAGGCUCAACUUGGGAAUUGCAAUUGAUACUGGCAGUCUAGAGAGUAGUUGAGGUAGGCGGAAUGUAUGGUGUAGCGGUGAAAUGCUUAGAGAUCAUACAGAACACCGAUUGCGAAGGCAGCUUACCAAGCUACCACUGACGUUGAGGCACGAAAGCGUGGGGAGCAAACAGGAUUAGAUACCCUGGUAGUC
rnacentral:rRNA from 1 species